GAGUGAGGGAGGUGUGACUAGUGAGGGAGGGGGUGACUAGUGACAGAAUGAGGGAGGGGUUGACUAGUAACAGAGUGAGGGAGAUGGUGACUAUAACAGAGUGAGGGAGGUGGAGACUGUCACUAGUCACCCCAUCCCUCCCUCUGUCACUAGUCACCCACUCCUGCACUCUGUCACUAGUCACCCCCUCCCUCUGUCACUGUGUCACCCCAUCCCUCCCUCUGUCACUAGUCACUCCCUCCUUAACUC